UACGUAGGGUGCAAGCGUUAUCCGGAAUUAUUGGGCGUAAAGGGCUCGUAGGCGGUCUGUCACGUCGGGAGUGAAAACUCAGGGCUUAACCCUGAGCCUGCUUCCGAUACGGGCAGACUAGAGGUAUGCAGGGGAGAACGGAAUUCCUGGUGUAGCGGUGAAAUGCGCAGAUAUCAGGAGGAACACCGGUGGCGAAGGCGGUUCUCUGGGCAUUACCUGACGCUGAGGAGCGAAAGUGUGGGGAGCGAACAGG
rnacentral:rRNA from 1 species